rnacentral:rRNA from 1 species
CGUGCAGCCGGAGAGACAAGUCAGAUGUGAAAUCCGCGGGCUUAACCCGCGAACUGCAUUUGAAACUGUUUCCCUUGAGUAUCGGAGAGGUAAUCGGAAUUCCUAGUGUAGCGGUGAAAUGCGUAGAUAUUAGGAAGAACACCAGUGGCGAAGGCGGAUUACUGGACGACAACUGACGGUGAGGCGCGAAAGCGUGGGGAGCAAACA